AUUUAGAAUUCAGCAUUCAUGGUCCUGAAAAUCCAUGGAUUUUUGGCCAAAACAAUCAUUUUUUUUAUUUUUUUCCAAGUAUGGCACAAUCAUCCCGACAUCCUGGCAGGAGUCGUGAUCUGCUGUGUUUGUGUGCCUUAUUCAGCACAGAUUCACACCAGUCGGACCCACUCUGGACCAAGUUGAAGAUGCCCUCACCCAAUGAAUGAUGCAGUGGCGAUUGCUCAAGGACUGCAAGGGAAGCUUAUCUUGCCCUAUAAUGUCUAAAACAAUGUGGCGAAAUAUGUACUGCUGUGUGUACAUUUCAUUGACUAAAUAUGCGCUAGAAUACCUUCAUCUUUUGUUCAGAAUCAGCUACUUAUCACAUGUAACCCACACGACUCCCUCAUUCUCCCUUGCAGCGCCACCGCGCUUUUGCACAGUCGGACGCUGAGAGUCUACUGACUUCUACUGGGAAGCGUAGAGGGGUUGUUCCACUGCGCGAAACUGGACGGUCAUUGGAUCAAUGCUGGGCUUUGUCCCGCCCAUCGGACGCUCAGCGUCUCCGGGGGUCUAGGGGCAGUGGGCUGGCACGGACGCUCGGCUUCUGCAUGAUUAUUGGAUGAUCUGUCUGAGGAGGGAUUCCCGUUUGAUUGACAGUAAAAUGAGCGAAUCAGCGAUCGUGAAGUAUAAACCUCCACCGGAACAUAUUUCAAGUUUUCAUUCCGUUGGUCUGAACUGAUCCGGGGACUUUACCGAUCCCCAGCGACUUUGUCCUUGUUAAAAAGCUAGCAAGCUGAACAUCAUGCCAGAUACUUGAAUUUUCAUAUAAAUAAAUACACACAUUUAUGAUGUAGGCUGGAAAAAAAGGAGCUUCCCCUCCUUGAAUGACCAGCAUCCGCCACU